UUUGCCUAUAUACUAUGAGGCCAAGUAAAAUAUGCGUGCGUCUCAAAAUAAAAAAAUGCUGAAAUAACUCGUACUUACAGCGAUUUUUCCCCCAUCUUUAUACAGUAUCGGACAACGGCACUUUCCCAAUAAGGAAAAAACUACAAAUUUCCCAAUUGCUGUAAAAAAAUCCCAAUUGAAGGUUUCUAAAAAAAAUUACAUUUUUUUCAAUAAAAAAAUACAACAUUAGUUAGUUACCCUAUGCAGCUCUAUGGCUUGAACCUUAGUUAAUAUAUUAUUGACAACUUAACACCAUUUAGUUAUCAAUUUUUAUGUAUUUGGGAACAAAAAAUCAAAUACACCAAUUUCCCAAUAUGAAGACUUCACGACUCAAAUUUUCCCAAUUGGGCUGGUAACGGUACUUUUCCCCAUUAAGCAAAAAAAUUGCUGACUUACAUUGUCAUCUUUAAGUCUUUACUUUAACAUUUGAGAGAUUACCAAAAUUAUCAGCUUAUAACAUAUGCCACAUACCCCACUAUAGCUCAAUUGGUCAUUGUCGGCUCGGGUACUACUUACAUGUACCCCGGGUACUCUUAAGUAUACUUACAUGUACCCCGGGUACGGUAAAAAUACUCAAACGUACCCGGGAAUUUUAACACUAAAUCGGUUGCUGUCGGCUAUUUUUUUUUAAAUAAUUAUGUUCACAAUUAUUGCAAUGUUCUGUUAAAUGGACUCUUUAUUAUCGGAAUUCUUACUAAAAUUUCAUGUUGAUGCAGUUUUUUUUCAAAGAGAUGUUUGUUUAAGAUAUUCAAUUUCGUUUUACGGUAAUUGGUUGCGCAUCUUACAACAUCGGAUUUUGGCGGGAAUACAACUCGGGUACAGUCUAAUAUCGACCGGGUACGUUUAAGUAUAUUUACUGACCCGGGGUACAUGAAAGUAUACUUACCGGUACCCGGGGUACAUGAAAGUAGUACCCGAGCCGACAAUGACCAAUCGAGCCCCACUAUAUACAUUCAACAUAAAUAAACAACAUUACACUUUUACUGCCCCAAACAUCGGACAAUUUGGCGAGAGUGAAGACUGAUAUAACGUAUACAAGUUUACUUUAAAAGAUUGUAUUAUGCCCCCCUUCGAAGAAGAGGGGGUAUAUUGCUUUGCUCAUGUCGGUCGGUCUGUCGGUCGGUCUGUCCGUCCACCAGGUGGUUGUCAGACGAUAACUCGAGAACCCUUGGGCCUAGGAUCAUGAAACUUCAUAGGUACAUUGAUCAUGACUCGCAGAUGACCCCUAUUGAUUUUGAGGUCACUAGGUCAAAGGUCAAGGUCACGGUGACCCGAAAUAGUAAAAUGGUUUCCGGAUGAUAACUCAAGAACGCAUACGCCUAGGAUCAUGAAACUUCAUGGGUAGAUUGAUCAUGACUCGCAGAUGACCCCUAUUGAUUUUUAGGUCACUAGGUCAAAGGUCAAGGUCACGGU